rnacentral:rRNA from 1 species
CCUACGGGAGGCUGCAGUGGGGAAUAUUGGGCAAUGGGCGCAAGCCUGACCCAGCAACGCCGCGUGAAGGAAGAAGGCUUUCGGGUUGUAAACUUCUUUUCUCAGGGACGAAGCAAGUGACGGUACCUGAGGAAUCAGCCACGGCGAACUACGUGCCAGCAGCCGCGGUAAGUCGUAGGUGGCAAGCGUUCUCCGGAUUUACUGGGGGUAAAGGGCGUGUAGGCGGGGACGCAAGUCAGAUGUGAAAGCCAUGGGCUCAACCUGUGGCCUGCAUUUGAAACCGUGUUUCUUGAGUACUGGAGAGGCAGACGGAAUUCCUGGUGUAGCGGUGAAAUGCGUAGAUAUUAGGAGGAACACCAGUGGCGAAGGCGGUCUGCUGGACAGCAACUGACGCUGAGGCGCGAAAGCGUGGGGAGCAAACAGGAUUAGAUACCCUGGUAGUC